ACCGCACAAGCGGUGGAUGAUGUGGAUUAAUUCGAUGCAACGCGAAAACCUUACCUACCCUUGACAUGUCCGGAAUCCCGAAGAGAUUUGGGAGUGCUCGCAAGAGAGCCGGAACACAGGUGCUGCAUGGCUGUCGUCAGCUCGUGUCGUGAGAUGUUGGGUUAAGUCCCGCAACGAGCGCAACCCUUGUCAUUAGUUGCCAUCAUUUGGUUGGGCACUCUAAUGAGACUGCCGGUGACAAACCGGAGGAAGGUGGGGAUGACGUCAAGUCCUCAUGGCCCUUAUGGGUAGGGCUUCACACGUCAUACAAUGGUCGGUACAGAGGGUUGCCAACCCGCGAGGGGGAGCUAAUCCCACAAAGCCGAUCGUAGUCCGGAUCACAGUCUGCAACUCGACUGCGUGAAGUCGGAAUCGCUAGUAAUCGUGGAUCAGCAUGUCACGGUGAAUACGUUCCCGGGGCUU
rnacentral:rRNA from 1 species